UACGAAGGGGGCUAGCGUUGUUCGGAUUUACUGGGCGUAAAGCGCACGUAGGCGGAUCGUUAAGUCGAGGGUGAAAUCCUGGAGCUCAACUCCAGAACUGCCUUCGAUACUGGCGAUCUAGAGUCCGGAAGAGGUGAGUGGAACUCCUAGUGUAGGGGUGGAAUUCGUAGAUAUUAGGAAGAACACCAGUGGCGAAGGCGGCUCACUGGUCCGGUACUGACGCUGAUGUGCGAAAGCGUGGGGAGCAGACAGG
rnacentral:rRNA from 1 species